AGGUCGGUCGCCUAGCGGUUGAUGGCACCAGUCUCCAAAACUGGCGGAGAAAUCCCACCUUGGUUCGAAUCCAAGCCGGCCUG
rnacentral:tRNA from 1 species